AUUGAACGCUGGCGGCAGGCUUAACACAUGCAAGUCGAACGAGUGGCGGAAGGGUGAGUAAUGCUUUGGACUCUAGCUCAUGGAGGGGGAUAACUACGGGAAACUGUAGCUAAUACCGCGUACCAUAGGUUGAGCCCAAGGGGGAUGAGGUAGUUGGUGAGGUAAAGGCUCACUAAGCCGACGAUCUCUAGCAGUUCAGAGAGGAUGACCAGCAACACGGGGAGUGAGACACGGCCCAGACUCCUACGGGAGGGAGCAGUGGGAAAUAGGGCGCAAUGAGGGCAACCAGACGCAGCCAGGCCGCGUGAAUGAAGAAGUCCUUCGUGGUGUAGGUUCUUUCGGUAGCGAGGCGUUAACUACAGAGAAAGCACCGGCUAACUCCGUGCCAGCAGCCGCGGUAAUUC
rnacentral:rRNA from 1 species